GCCGAGGUGGCACAAUCUGGUACUGCGCAGAUUGUCUUUCUAGGUUGAAAGAUAAGUGUAAGCCUGGAAAGAAGUUCUUUUCAAGACUAGAUAGCCUGUUUCCUUUGGAUAUCUGGGUUCGAAUCCCAGCCUCGGCG
rnacentral:tRNA from 1 species